AAAAAUAGGGGGGUCGGCCUAUUCCAGGACUUCUAGAGAAAAAUAAUGAGGGGUGUCACGGGGAAUGACUAUAUAGGUCUUGUAGAGGAGAAACAGGCGCUUCUUUUGCGCUAGGUAUCGAAGGGCGCUAUGUUCAAAAAUCUGAAACUAGAGCUCAAAAUUUGAAAAAAAUGUCAAAAAAUUAGGGGGGUCGGCCUAUUCUAGGACUUCUAGAGAAAAAUAAUGAGGGGUGUCACGGGGAAUGACUAUAUAGGUCUUGUAGAGGAGAAACAGGCGCUUCUUUUGCGCUAGGUAUCGAAGGGCGCUAUGUUCAA
rnacentral:lncRNA from 1 species